CUUGGUCAUUUAGAGGAAGUAAAAGUCGUAACAAGGUUUCCGUAGGUGAACCUGCGGAAGGAUCAUUAGUGAAUUUAGCGCAUCUGCUUUGCAGAGCGUGACCUCCACUUUCUAACUCUGUGCACUUAAUGGCGGAAGAGAUGAAAUAUGCUCUUCUGCGGCUCAUUUUAUAACACUAGUUAAAGAAUGUAACGAAAUAUCGAAACAAAAAAAAACUUUCAACAACGGAUCUCUUGGCUCUCGCAUCGAUGAAGAACGCAGCGAAAUGUGAUAAGUAAUGUGAAUUGCAGAAUUCAGUGAAUCAUCGAAUCUUUGAACGCACCUUGCGCUCCCUGGUAUUCCGGGGAGCAUGUCUGUUUGAGUGUCAUGAACUCUUCAACCCACCGGUUUCUUGUAAACUGGCUGGUGUUUGGUUUCUGAGUGUUGCUCGUCCUUGUGACUGAGCUCAUUCGUAAUAUAUGAGCAUCUCUAAUUCGAAUUCGGAUUGACUCAGUGUAAUAGACUAUUCGCUGAGGACACACCUAGUGUGGCCGAAUAAGAUAAUUGUAGAAGCUUCUAACCCUUCUAGUCAUUUUAAGAUUAGACCUCAGAUCAGAUAGGACUACCCGCUGAACUUAAGCAUAUCAAUAAGCGGAGGAAAAGAAACUAACAAGGAUUCCCCUAGUAACGGCGAGUGAAGCGGGAAGAGCUCAAAUUUGUAAUCUGGCACUUUCAGUGUCCGAGUUGUAAUCUCGAGAAGUGUUUUCCGCGCCGGGCCGCAUACAAGUCUGUUGGAAUACAGCGUCAUAGUGGUGAGAACCCCGUAACUGAUGCGGAUGCCCGGUGCUUUGUGAUACACUUUCGAAGAGUCGAGUUGUUUGGGAAU
rnacentral:sRNA from 1 species